rnacentral:rRNA from 1 species
UGCCAGCAGCCGCGGUAAUACGAAGGGUGCAAGCGUUGUUCGGAUUUAUUGGGCGUAAAGCGCGCGCAGGCGGAUGCGUAAGUCAGAUGUGAAAUCUCGGGGCUCAACCCCGAAAUUGCGUCUGAAACUACGUAUCUAGAGUCUCGGAGAGGGAAGGGGAAUUUCUUGUGUAGGGGUAAAAUCCGUAGAGAUAAGAAGGAACACCAGUGGCGAAGGCGCCUUCCUGGACGAGUACUGACGCUGAGGCGCGAAAGCGUGGGGAGCAAACAGGAUUAGAUA